rnacentral:misc_RNA from 1 species
UUAAGUUCAGCGGGUAUUCCUACCUGAUCCGAGGUCAACCUUUUUAUUUGUCCGAAGACGGGGGUUGUUUUAACGGCUGGAGCGCGCUGCGCCUCCCUAGCGAGAUAGGAUUCUACUACGCUCGGAGUUGCAGCGAGCCCGCCACUUCAUUUCAGGGCCUCCGGCAAGCCGGAGGGGCCCCAACACCAAGCAGUGCUUGA